UAUGCAGUGGAUAAAUGCAACAAUCAGGCAAUCUUUAAAGAGAAUAGGGAUAAAAUAAGAGACCUGGGCCUUGUUUAUCUUUUUGAUGAGAAGAUGAUGACGUUAUUUCGGGAAAUCAUGGAAAACUGAGACGAUCCGCACUAUCUCCCUAGGUCCCUUUCUGUUCAUUAAGCUAUCACAGAACUGGUUAAAACUAACAUUUACAUCAGCUAGAACUAUCAAAAUAGAUGCAUCAAUUUCUCCACUGGCUACUCCCAAACAAUUUGAACAAUUCAUUCAGGCAGCAAGUGUUUCCAC